AGUGAACGCUGGCGGCAGGCCUAACACAUGCAAGUCGAACGGCGGCACAGAGGAGCUUGCUCCUUGGGUGGCGAGUGGCGGACGGGUGAGGAAUACAUGGGAAUCUGCCCAAUCGUGGGGGAUAACGUAGGGAAACUUACGCUAAUACCGCAUACGACCUACGGGUGAAAGCGGCGGACCGCAAGGCGUCGCGCGAUUGGAUGAGCCCAUGUCGGAUUAGCUAGUUGGCGGGGUAAAGGCCCACCAAGGCGACGAUCCGUAGCUGGUCUGAGAGGAUGAUCAGCCACACUGGAACUGAGACACGGUCCAGACUCCUACGGGAGGCAGCAGUGGGGAAUAUUGGACAAUGGGCGCAAGCCUGAUCCAGCCAUGCCGCGUGAGUGAAGAAGGCCCUCGGGUUGUAAAGCUCUUUUGUCCGGAAAGAAAAGCUUUCGGUUAAUACCCGGAAGUCCUGACGGUACCGGAAGAAUAAGCACCGGCUAACUUCGUGCCAGCCGCCGCAGUAAGAC
rnacentral:rRNA from 1 species